rnacentral:rRNA from 1 species
AACGGAGGGUGCAAGCGUUGUUCGGAAUUACUGGGCGUAAAGCGCGUGCAGGUGGUUUUUUAAGUUUCGUGUGAAAGCCCACGGCUCAACCGUGGAAUGGCACGGAAAACUGGAAAACUAGAGUACGGGAGAAGAGGGCGGAAUUCCCAGUGUAGAGGUGAAAUUCGUAGAUAUUGGGAGGAACACCGGUGGCGAAAGCGGCUCUCUAGACCGAUACUGACACUCAUACGCGAGAGCGUGGGUAGCAAACAGG